AACGAACGCUGGCGGCAUGCCUAACACAUGCAAGUCGAACGAGACCUUCGGGUCUAGUGGCGCACGGGUGCGUAACGCGUGGGAAUCUGCCCUUUGCUUCGGAAUAACAGUUAGAAAUGACUGCUAAUACCGGAUGAUGUCUUCGGACCAAAGAUUUAUCGGCAAAGGAUGAGCCCGCGUAGGAUUAGGUAGUUGGUGGGGUAAAGGCCUACCAAGCCGACGAUCCUUAGCUGGUCUGAGAGGAUGAUCAGCCACACUGGGACUGAGACACGGCCCAGACUCCUACGGGAGGCAGCAGUGGGGAAUUUUGGACAAUGGGCGGCAAGCCUUGAUCCAGCAAUGCCGCGUGCAGGAUGAAG
rnacentral:rRNA from 1 species